GAUGAACGCUAGCGGGAGGCCUAACACAUGCAAGCCGAGCGGUAGAGUUUCUUCGGAAACUUGAGAGCGGCGCACGGGUGCGUAACACGUGUGCAACCUACCUUUAUCUGGGGUAUAGCCUUUCGAAAGGAAGAUUAAUACCCCAUAAUAUAAUGAUUGGCAUCAAUUAUUAUUGAAAACUCCGGUGGAUAGAGAUGGGCACGCGCAAGAUUAGAUAGUUGGUGAGGUAACGGCUCACCAAGUCAAUGAUCUUUAGGGGUCCUGAGAGGGAGAUCCCCCACACUGGUACUGAGACACGGACCAGACUCCUACGGGAGGCAGCAGUGAGGAAUAUUGGACAAUGGGUGAGAGCCUGAUCCAGCCAUCCCGCGUGAAGGAUGACGGUCCUAUGGAUUGUAAACUUCUUUUGUACAGGGAUAAACCUACCCUCGUGAGGGUAGCUGAAGGUACUGUACGAAUAAGCACCGGCUAACUCCGUG
rnacentral:rRNA from 1 species